GAUGAACGCUGGCGGCGUGCCUAAUACAUGCAAGUCGAGCGGACGGACCAGAAGCUUGCUUUUCUGAUGUUAGCGGCAGACGGGUGAGUCACACGUGUAUAACCUACCUAUAAGACUGGUAUAACUUCGGGAAACCGGAUCUAAUACCGUAUAAUAUUUUGAACCGCAUGGUUCAUAAGUGAAAGACGGUCUUGCUGUCACUUAUAGAUGGAUCCGCGCUGCAUUAGCUAGUUGGUAAGGUAACGGCUUACCAAGGCAACGAUGCAUAGCCGACCUGAGAGGGUGAUCGGCCACACUGGAACUGAGACACGGUCCAGACUCCUACGGGAGGCAGCAGUAGGGAAUCUUACGCAAUGGGCGAAAGCCUGACGGAGCAACGCGGCGUGAGUGAUGACGGUCUUCGGAUCGUAAAACUCUGUUAUUAGGGAAGAACAUAUGUGUAAGUAACUGUGCACAUCUUGACGGUACCUAAUCAGAAAGCCACGGCUAACUACGUG
rnacentral:rRNA from 1 species